rnacentral:rRNA from 1 species
UGAGGAAUAUUGGUCAAUGGGCGCAAGCCUGAACCAGCCAUCCCGCGUGCAGGAUGACGGCCCUAUGGGUUGUAAACUGCUUUUAUACACCAAGAAAAAUCUCCACGUGUGGGGACCCGACGGUAGUGUAUGAAUAAGCAUCGGCUAACUCCGUG